rnacentral:rRNA from 1 species
GACGAACGCUGGCGGCGUGCUUAACACAUGCAAGUCGAACGGAAAGGCCUCUUUCGUGGGGUACUCGAGUGUCGAACGGGUGAGUAACACGUGAGUAACCUGCCCUUUACUUUGGGAUAACUUCAGGAAACUGGGGCUAAUACCGGAUAGAAGCUCCUGCUGCAUGUUGGGGGUUGGAAAGUUUCGGCGGGUGGGGAUGGGCUCGCGGCUUAUCAGCUUGUUGGUGGGGUAGUGGGUUAACAAGGCUUUGACGGGUAGCCGGCCUGAGAGGGUGACCGGCCCAAUUGGGAAUGGGGUACGGCCCAGAACCCUAAGGGAGGCAAGAGGGGGGAAUAUUGCACAAUGGGUGGGAGCCUGAUGCAGCAAAGCCGUGGGGGGGAUGACGGGCCUUGGGUUGUAAACCGGUUUCGGUCAGGACGAAGGUUUGUGUGACGGUAGUGGGUAAAGAAGCACCGGCUAACUACGUG